UCGGGGGAAAGAUUUAUCGCCUUUAGAGCGGCCCGCGUCUGAUUAGCUAGUUGGUGGGGUAAUGGCCCACCAAGGCGACGAUCAGUAGCUGGUCUGAGAGGAUGACCAGCCACAUUGGGACUGAGACACGGCCCAAACUCCUACGGGAGGCAGCAGUGGGGAAUCUUGCGCAAUGGGCGAAAGCCUGACGCAGCCAUGCCGCGUGGAUGAUGAAGGUCUUAGGAUUGUAAAAUCCUUUCACCGGUGAAGAUAAUGACUGUAGCCGGAGAAGAAGCCCCGGCUAACUUCGUGCCAGUAGCCGCGGUAAUACGAAGGGGGCUAGCGUUGCUCGGAAUUACUGGGCGUAAAGGGAGCGUAGGCGGACAUUUAAGUCAGGGGUGAAAUCCCGAGGCUCAACCUCGGAACUGCCUUUGAUACUGGGUGUCUUGAGUGUGAGAGAGGUGAGUGGAACUCCGAGUGUAGAGGUGAUAUUCGUAGAUAUUCGGAAGUACACCAGUGGCGAAGGCG
rnacentral:rRNA from 1 species